rnacentral:rRNA from 1 species
GUGAGGAAUUUUCCGCAAUGGGCGAAAGCCUGACGGAGCAAUGCCGCGUGAAGGAUGAAGGCCUAUGGGUUGUAAACUUCUUUUCUCAGAAAAGAAUUAUGACGGUAUCUGAGGAAUAAGCAUCGGCUAACUCUGUGCCAGCAGCCGCGGUAAGACAGAGGAUGCAAGCGUUAUCCGGAAUGAUUGGGCGUAAAGCGUCUGUAGGUUGUUUAAAAAGUAUUCUGUCAAAGAUUAGGGCUUAACCCUAGAUAGGCAGAAUAAACUUUUAAGCUAGAGUUUGGUAGAGGCAGAGGGAAUUCCCGGUGUAGCGGUGAAAUACGUAGAUAUCGGGAGGAACACCAAAGGCGAAGGCACUCUGCUGGGCCAAUACUAACACUGAGAGACGAAAGCGAGGGGAGCAAAUGGGAUUAGAAACCCGUGUAGUCC